UAUGAUAGCAUUGGAGAGGGAGCCCGAGA
rnacentral:piRNA from 1 species